AUGAACGCUGGCGGCGUGCUUAACACAUGCAAGUCGAACGGUGAAGGCGGAGCUUGCUCUGCUGGAUCAGUGGCGAACGGGUGAGUAACACGUGAGCAAUCUGCCCCUGACUCUGGGAUAAGCGCUGGAAACGGCGUCUAAUACUGGAUACGAGCUGCGAAGGCAUCUUCAGCAGCUGGAAAGAACUUCGGUCAGGGAUGAGCUCGCGGCCUAUCAGCUUGUUGGUGAGGUAACGGCUCACCAAGGCGUCGACGGGUAGCCGGCCUGAGAGGGUGACCGGCCACACUGGGACUGAGACACGGCCCAGACUCAUACGGGAGGCAGCAGUGGGGAAUAUUGCACAAUGGGCGAAAGCCUGAUGCAGCAACGCCGCGUGAGGGACGACGGCCUUCGGGUUGUAAACCUCUUUUAGCAGGGAAGAAGCGAAAGUGACGGUACCUGCAGAAAAAGCGCCGGCUAACUACGUG
rnacentral:rRNA from 1 species